CUGGAUCUAUACAGCUUGAGGGCUUUGUUUAUUGGCAUGCACUUUUGGCUCCCCUAAAGGCGUUUCAAGUUUCCCAGAAAUAUGAUAAGACAAAAAUAUAUUAUAACAGAAGAAAGUAAAGAUAAAGAGAGAGGCGAGGUUGGUUGGUGUUGGAUAAAUAUGAACUCAAUGGCAUACUUGCAGCUCAUUGCGUCGUUCCAAGAGGGCCACAACUUUCCUGUCCUGCUGAGAUGGUUUGCUUGCAUCUGUAUGUGAGCUGCCAGUUUCUUACUAAGAGAGUCACUUUCUCUGGGAGUGCAACAGCAUCACAGUUGGAAACCGUGUCAUCAUAUGUCUACUAAAAGCAGCCUCAACAGCUGAUUGCAACCUGGACUCAGAAGGUGUAUUCCUUUCUGAGGUGGCAUCCCUUCUCUUCUGUCUCGAAAAAAAAUACGCUUAUGGUAACCUAAACUUCCACUAAGAUGUAGAACCUUAUUGAUAUAUUCAAAGCCCCAAAGUUUAAAUUUAAUACUACAGUUUGUGCAAUCACUGCACUCCUGGUGUGAGUAGGUCAACUUGAGUUGUUCCUAACUAUAGAUCAUGUAAGGAAGCAGGCUGCUAUGACAGCUCAGUCACAACAGGCUGUUUGGACAAUUGUCAAACUCUUUUGAAGUAUCUCAGGAACUUGAAGAUAAAGAUGACACCAUUUCUGCUGUGGACAAGGCAGAGGGAGAGAACAUUACCAUCAGGGUAUUAUUUGCUCAAUAUUUUUGCCAUGGACAAGUCAAAGCUGAGGAUUGCUGUUCUGGAGUUUGUCCACUAAAUUUUGUAAUGGAACAUGAUAUAUAAGAGAACUGUGAUACAUGAAUCCGAAGCCAAAACAGCCUGAGCCUGUCAAAAUAUUAGUGUUCUAUUUGUUCUGCUUUUUUUUCAGUCUCAUUUCUGAGAAUUUUUGACCAGAUCCAAAGAAAACAUAAAACUUUGAUAAUAUUUAGAAUUUGUGGAAAAAAUGAGAGGCGUGUUCUCAGAGCAGGCCCAAAGCUCCUCUUGCUUAUCACUGCCCACUCAAACAUACCAUCACCUACUAUUUUUAAAAUCCCAUACGGGCAUCUAAAAGUAUUUUUCUGCUGUUCUCGAUGAUGUGUCAUGCUGAUCAUAAUUGCUACAUGUAAGAAUUAUUAGUGCUGCAUACACCUAAUGCUCAUUCACUAAACAGAUGGCUUAUGAAAAUGUGGGAUGGCUUACUAGUCCUAAAAUGAUUCAUACCUCAGCUAUC
rnacentral:lncRNA from 1 species